UACAGAGGUCUCAAGCGUUUGUUCGGAUUCAUUGGGCGUAAAGGGUGCGUAGGUGGCGCCGUAAGUGGGGUGUGAAAUCUCGGGGCUUAACUCCGAAACUGCAUUCCAUACUGCGGUGCUUGAGGACUGGAGAGGAGACUGGAAUUCAUGGUGUAGCAGUGAAAUGCGUAGAGAUCAUGAGGAAGACCAGUGGCGAAGGCGGGUCUCUGGGCAGUAACUGACGCUGAGGAGCGAAAGCGUGGGGAGCGAACAGG
rnacentral:rRNA from 1 species